GGGUCUUCAUGGCCCGACCUCCAACCCUCUGUUGUUAAAACUACCUUGUUGCUUUGGCGGGACCGUCUCGGUCUCCGAGCGCACUAACCCUCGGGUUGGUGAGCGCCCGCCAGAGUCCAACCAAACUCUUGUAUUAAACCAGUCGUCUGAGUAUAAAAUUUUAAUUAAAUUAAAACUUUCAACAACGGAUCUCUUGGUUCUCGCAUCGAUGAAGAACGCAGCGAAAUGCGAUAAGUAAUGUGAAUUGCAGAAUUCAGUGAAUCAUCGAAUCUUUGAACGCACAUUGCGCCCCUUGGUAUUCCGAGGGGCAUGCCUGUUCGAGCGUCAUUACACCACUCAAGCAUCGCUUGGUAUUGGGAACGGUCCGUCGAAAGGCGGGCCUUCCUCGAAGACCUCGGCGGGGUUCAACCAACUUCGGGCGUAGUAGAGUUAAAUCGAACGUCUUAUAAGCUUGGUCGGAUCUCAUUGCCGUUAAACCUUUAAAUUUUCUAGGUUGACCUCGGAUCAGGUAGGGAUACCCGCUGAACUUAAGCAUAUC
rnacentral:rRNA from 1 species